AACCUUACCAGGUCUUGACAUCCCGAUGCUAUUUCUAGAGAUAGAAAGUUACUUCGGUACAUCGGUGACAGGUGGUGCAUGGUUGUCGUCAGCUCGUGUCGUGAGAUGUUGGGUUAAGUCCCGCAACGAGCGCAACCCCUAUUGUUAGUUGCCAUCAUUCAGUUGGGCACUCUAGCGAGACUGCCGGUAAUAAACCGGAGGAAGGUGGGGAUGACGUCAAAUCAUCAUGCCCCUUAUGACCUGGGCUACACACGUGCUACAAUGGUUGGUACAACGAGUUGCGAGUCGGUGACGGCGAGCUAAUCUCUUAAAGCCAAUCUCAGUUCGGAUUGUAGGCUGUAACUCGCCUACAUGAAGUCGGAAUCGCUAGUAAUCGCGGAUCAGCACGCCGCGGUGAAUACGUUCCCGGGCCUU
rnacentral:rRNA from 1 species